rnacentral:lncRNA from 1 species
UCUAUUUAUAUUUACAAAUAAUUGGUACCCCUUUGGAUCGUUUAUGACAUGAAAAUACGUAUUUAAUAGCUUUAUAUUAAUAAAGCGGGGUCCAAUCGGUACCGGUUUUCGAGAUAAUCAUCAAAACGGGGUGUUUUAAAUCAAUCAUUAGUAUGCGGGUCCCAUUUGCAAUUAUUACAAGAUAAGAAUUAAUAUAAUAAUCAAAAUAUCUAGUUUCACGCUUAUCGAGACAAACUGGAUAAUUAUCAACAAUUAAAAUACCCGAAAAACUCCGCCGGACCGACUCCGGGGAAAACCGUACUCCGGAUCGAAAAAGUCAAAACACGAAAAAUGUCCGGAAUAUUCAAAUUAGGCUAAAGGUGAGUUUUGUUGAAACUUCCGGGAAGAAAAUUUGCUACCUCGUUACGAGUGGACGGUUUUACGGAAGUCAAAUAAUUAAUAAAUAAAUAUAAAUAUACGCAAUUAAAUCCGUAAAUCGAUUAUAAAAUCAUCUAACAUUCCAUAAAUCGAUAUGAAAAUAUCCAAAUAAACUAUAUUUUCUCCUGAGCAUAUAGAAAUUGAAAUCUCGCGAAUACGAACACAUACGAGCAUUCAGCUCAAUAAACUAGAUAACACAAAAUUCACAAAAAUUCAUAUAUUACUCAUAUAAUAUUAAUAAUUAAUCAUAACUAAUUAACAAACAAAUUCACCAAUACCACUUAAUCACAUAACACACAUAUAUUCACAUAAUAUUCAUACAGAAUUUUCAAAACAAUAUAUGAAAAUCAGUUUUGAAAAUACAAUUAUUUAUCAAUAACACAAUAACCCGGGGUUUAAAU